CUCUGUUGCCUUAAUACCGAGUCAUGCAUGGGCAACGAGUUGGUAGUGGCAACAUUAUACUACCGGACAAGUUUUGUUGAAAGCAAUAUUAUGGUUGAUGUGGCAUUCAAUUCUCUGAGCAGGAGCUCUUUCUUCCAUUUUUUAGGGAUUGCUAGUAGCGAGACUAAUCAUCCCUCAGGCUAAGACCAACCGCGGAUCCGAAUGGUCCUUGGGAGGCUUCACCAACAAGGGC
rnacentral:lncRNA from 1 species